UGGGGAAUAUUGCACAAUGGGCGCAAGCCUGAUGCAGCCAUGCCGCGUGUGUGAAGAAGGCCUUCGGGUUGUAAAGCACUUUCAGCGAGGAGGAAGGGUAGUGUGUUAAUAGCACAUUGCAUUGACGUUACUCGCAGAAGAAGCACCGGCUAACUCCGUGCCAGCAGCCGCGGUAAUACGGAGGGUGCAAGCGUUAAUCGGAAUUACUGGGCGUAAAGCGCACGCAGGCGGUUUGUUAAGUCAGAUGUGAAAUCCCCGCGCUUAACGUGGGAACUGCAUUUGAAAC
rnacentral:rRNA from 1 species